CGUGUGGGCCGCGUCGCGGAGACUUCUGGGAGCUCUUGCUCGCCAUCGGAGUGCGCAGGCGCAGCGCGCCGAGUGGACAUUUUGGUCUUUGUCCGCGGGUCAGUCCGGCCCCUGGGUCCACGUGGCGCGAAAGUAGGAGGGCCGCUUCCUUGUGCAUCCCUGGAGACUGCACCUUUUUCAUCAUUCAGAAGGCCUGGAGGCCCCAGGGCUCAGCCUGAGUUCUAGGAUGGUACUUUGGCCCCCAGCAUUAAUAUUCUAGUGCUGUGUCAUUUCCCCAAUAGCAGGUUAUAAACCAACCACACUGUAUGUGAUCCUCUGUUGGAACAAGAAGACAAACUCUGGAUGGUGGAGAACAAAGUGGAAAGGAAAUUUGUUCAGGUCGUUUCCAGGCUUUUGAACACACAAGUGUUCCUGAGGAAGGAAGAGGAAGACAGUCUUAAGAAGCCUGAGAAGAUGAUGAGCAGAUAGAGAGGCAACAAGAUUUGGGAGGCAAGUUGCAUCCAUCUCCAGUAAAGUACAGACUGAGGAAAAAAAGCAGUGAACUAAGAAAAUUGGAAGGAUACUUCUUCUGAUCUCAGACCUUAUAUCUUUAAGGAAACACCUUUUUCAACUUACCUGGAAAGAGUGUGAAACAAAAUUUAGACUUAAUUGUGAGGGAAGUUGUGUAGGGGAGAAGCAUUAAUUUAACUAGGAAAUCUGCCUCUGCUUGCUCCUUAUGCUAAUAACCCCCUUUAAAUGUAAAUCAGUGUGGAAAUGUCUUCAGUUAAAACCAUUUGAACUCCAUAGAAAAACCCUAUGAAAUUACUGAAUGUGGCAAAACUUUCACUCACAUGUCACACCUCGUUAAAUGUAGAAGUCAGGCUUAAGAGAAACUCUGUUCUAAGGAAUACUGAAGAGCCUUUAGCUAGAUGACAGAUCUCUGAGCAGAAGAAAUUUUUUACUGGAGAGAAACCAGUGAAUAUAACAAAACUUCGUUGAUCAUUAGAAAAUUUGGACAGAAAGCUUUUAAAUGUACUGAGUAUGAUAUAGUCUUCUCUCGAACUUUAUCCCUUCCUCUAUAUUUGAAAGGUCAUACACAGAGAAUCCUUACAAAUGUAAGAAAUAUGGAAAUUCCUUCAGCCAAAAGUAAAUCCUAAUUCAUCAAAAAAUUCAUACUGGAGAGAAACCUUGUGAAUGUGGGAAAGCUUCCAUUCAGAUGUCACACCUCAGUCAGCAGAAAAUUUGUAGUGGGGAAAACCCCUUUGCCUGUAAGGUAUGUGGGAAAGUCUUCAGCCACAAAUCAAAUCUUACUGAGCAUGAACAUUUUCAUAAUAGAGAGAAACCUUUUGAAUGUAACGAAUGUGGAAAAGCCUUUAGCCAGAAGCAAUAUGUUAUUAAACAUCAGAACACCCAUACUGGAGAGAAGCUUUUUGAAUGUAAUGAGUGUGGAAAAUCCUUCAGCCAGAAGGAAAACCUUCUCACCCAUCAGAAAAUUCACACUGGAGAGAAACCUUUUGAGUGUAAGGAUUGUGGGAAAGCUUUCAUUCAGAAGUCAAACCUCAUCAGACACCAGAGAACUCACACAGGAGAGAAGCCUUUUGUAUGUAAGGAAUGUGGAAAAACCUUCAGUGGCAAAUCUAACCUUACCGAGCAUGAGAAGAUUCAUAUUGGGGAGAAACCCUUUAAAUGUAGUGAAUGUGGAACAGCUUUUGGCCAGAAGAAGUACCUCAUAAAACAUCAAAACAUUCACACUGGAGAGAAACCCUAUGAAUGUAAUGAAUGUGGAAAAGCCUUCUCUCAACGAACAUCACUUAUCGUACAUGUGAGAAUUCAUUCAGGUGAUAAACCUUACGAAUGCAAUGUAUGUGGAAAAGCUUUCUCUCAAAGUUCAUCUCUUACUGUGCAUGUGAGAAGCCAUACAGGUGAGAAACCCUAUGGUUGUAAUGAAUGUGGGAAAGCUUUCUCUCAAUUCUCAACCCUUGCUCUGCAUUUGAGAAUACACACAGGUAAGAAGCCUUAUCAAUGUAGUGAAUGUGGGAAAGCUUUUAGCCAGAAGUCACACCAUAUUAGACACCAGAAAAUUCAUACUCAUUAAAAAACCCUGUAAAUAUCUUAAAAAUUGGAAAGUGUUCAUCAGGAGUUUAAACCUCAUAGCACAUCAGAAAUGAUCAUACUGAAAGAAGAUAUCACAAAUGAGGAAAACAAAAGCUAAAAAGUUACUGGACACCAUGGAAUUUAUACUGAAGAGAAAGACAUUUAUAUGAUAAAAAUCCUGGGCCCCCAGAAAAGCUGAUGGCCUAGGUAAUGCUGGAACUUUAGACGCAUUUCCACCAAACAUGCUUCUUAUUGCUGUCUGCAUUUAUCUGGAGAUCUUCACCAAUGUAAUCAAAAUAUAAGUUUUAAGUAUUGGCAAGGAAGAGACUUUUAUGGUAUUGAUUUAGUAGAACAGAAGAGAUUCUGGAAACACCUAUGCAUCUAUUAAAAUUUAGAAUAUGAUAGAAAUGGCAAUAGGAGGUGAGAAGAUAAUGGGACUAUGUAAAAAGUGAUUUGGAGGUAAUUUGUUCUCCAAGGAAAAAACAGGCCAUGAACUAUAAACAGAGGUAAGAACCAAGAGGAUAAGAACAAGAAUAUAAGCUGUAUACUGAAAUGGUUAUGACCUUGGGAGUAGGGAGACAUUCCUUAUAAUCUCAAAAAUUCUCUGAAUUUCUAUGCUUAGGAAAUAUGUACCAGUCUGCUUACUGUGGCAUGAUUUGUAGUUAGCCAUAAGUUGGAAACACCUUAAAUGCCCAUUGGGAACAAAAUGGAAAAUACUUAUGAUGGAAUACUGUAUAUCUGUAAAAUUUCGCAAAUGAGAUCUAUAUUACAGAGAAAGAUCUCAAAAAUCAUGUUGAAGGGGGAAAAUGAAGUUGCAGAAUAACAUAUAUUACAAUGCAUUUUGUAAAUUUUAACUAAAACUUUACUCACAAAAUUCAGUACUAUGUAUUGGUAAUGGAUAAAUAUAUGUAUGUAUGUUUUUAAAAUGUUUUUGAAAUGGAUUGGAAGGAUACAGACCAAACUCUUGAUUUGAUAGUGGUUGCUUGUGAAGAGUGGAGCAAGGAAGGGGAUGAGUGUGGGAGGGAGGGAUGGGAUGGGGACUGUUUAAAGGGGGGGUUUCAUUUUUAUAUAUAAAUAUCCAUUUCUCUUAAAAACUAAAGACUGCAAGUAAAUAUAUCAAAAUACUGAAUAAUUCUGAUUGUGGUAUAUGGAUAUCUUGUCUUAUUUUUUGUACUUUUCUGUAUUUUUAAAUUUUCUCAAAAUUAAUAAGAAUGGGGGUGAGGAUGGGAACACUGUACCUAUAGAAAUCAUGUUCUAAUGGAUUCAUUCCCAAUCAAGUACUAAACUUUUUAUAGAAAAUAUUUCUAAAAUUUUAUCAAUGAUGAGUGGAUGGACUUGCUCUCUAUGUAAUAUGAAAUUAUCUAUUUUAUUAAAAUUAAAAAUGAUCACAUAA